UGCACUAGUGAUCCACGGUCAGUUGAUUACAUGGUAUGUUGUUUGCAGGGACAAUUCGGCCUUGAGGCUUGAGUAUUACCGAUUGACGUCAUAUCAGUCCAGAUUAUAAACUAACAGGCUCAAAAUUCUGACCUGGAGUAAUUAGUACAGAAGUGGGAGGCAAACAUCAAGAGCUGUCUAUUUUUAUCUAAUCCGGUUUGAAGGACAUUUAAGUCCUAAUCAGGAACAAAACGUUAGAAUUAGCCAAUUCACCAGGAUCAUUCACCUAUUGACUGAUUCCACGUACUUUGUGGAAGGAAGGAAGCCGUACAGUUGUAUUCUGUGUGUUUCCUGUAUUGGCCACAGAAAAAUGCUAUUGUCAGUACUUCAGCCUCAGUUUAGUGAUUGAUCCCGACCAACAAUGACGAGAGCAGACAGGCUGGUCUGCAGGAUUCACAAGAAUAAAUAAAAAUCACAACGCAAGGCUGAAACUGAGAAUGCUUGAAAUCGAAUCGACUAUCAAGAGAUUCCUGGCAUAGAGAUUGUGCGUCAACUUCAUUGAGACAUUUUUUCUGCAUACAAUUGGAAUGCUAUUUGGAAAGAAAUUGUGUAGAAAGUGAAAAAGGGCAGUCUACUGUAUACUUGUAUAAGAGGAAUAAAGUCCUCCUGCCACUUGGAGAAACUCUAACGAGACAAGAGUCUCUUAUCAAAGACCUGAACAGUUUAUCGUUCUAUCGUCAUGGAGAUGGAAAUGGAGCCAGGAGUUUUGCUCAUUACAGCCAAUGUGGGCUCGAUAUUUGAAGAGCCUGUGCACAUGAUGUCUAUCUGGUUAGACAAAUUAUACGAGACGAUAAAGAGAUUAGAGCCCCAUUUCAUCGCCCUGCACUGCCAAGAACUUGGAGGGAAGGACUUUGAAGUCAGCAUGCAACAUGUUGACAACUUUGUUCAGAAACUGUAUGAUAGUGAGGCACUCCAAGACUUUGACCGAUCAAGCGUUUUCCUGGACAAGGAGUUCAAGACUCCAGAAUGUUUCACGGCAUUAGGAAGUUUUUAUUUCAUUCACAAGUCUCUCAAGGAUGCCCAGUGUUAUGAUUAUACAGAUUGCAAGUACCGACAGCUGUCUGGUCACGAGGUAUACUCCAGCAACCUUGCCAAAGUCACAACUCAAGAGAAGCACAAAUUCCCUGCUCAUUUCUAUCCAGAGUGCAAGUGGUCAAGAAAAGGUUUCAUGAGAACAAGAUGGAGCAUCAAUGGAAGGCAAUAUGAACUGGUCAACGUGCACCUGUUCCACGAUGCAAACAACGUCAUCGCCGUGGAAACGCAAUUCCCAUCACAAUACAGCAAAACCAGGAGAAAAGGAUUAGAAUUUGUUAUUCAGAGGCUUUCCCAAGAGAAGCACAGUAGAGUUCCAUUCUUUAUCUUUGGGGACUUCAACUUCAGGUUAGAUGCCCAGGGUGUAGUCAAGGCUCUGGUCUUACAAGCAAAGCCGACAUACACCAAGAAAGAUGGCGCUAUCACCAGGAUAGAAUAUUCAGAUGAAAAUAAUUCUCAGGUCUUGUUAACGUUAGAAAAGAAGAAGUUUGAAAUGGAUGAUCCAGAUAGGAUAAUGGAGAAUGGAAUUCAAUGGCUGUCAAGAUUUGACAAGGAAUUUAGCUGCUUCACAAAACAACUCUUAGAAUAUGAUGUCACCUUUCAGCCAAGCUAUCCAUACAGCGAGGAUAUCUCAGAUGGCCACAGCUACAUGAAGACCAGACCGCCUGCAUGGUGUGACAGGGUCUUUAUGUCACACUCAGCAAAGGCUCUCAUAUCGGAUGCAAACUCAAUGCCAUGCUACAACGUGAUUGGUCAAGAUGUGUGUAUGGGGGACCAUAAGCCAGUCUUCCUGUACUUCCCCCUGUCAAAGAGCGGUGCUAACAUAUCAGGUAAUGGUCGUGCCAGGCGGCAAUUGCGCCGUAAACGUUGUUGCGUGUUGCAAUGACACCAGUCUUCCUACCACUCUACCACCAUAACAGCAACAACAACUACUACCAUCCCGCCUUCCACACCUCAUUCCAGUCUCUCGUCUUCCUCUUGUUGCUCGGUGUUUUAUAUAUUUGAUAUUGGUGUAGAUGUAUAUUUGGUGUAUGCUAGUGUUUUCCUGCCACGCCCUAACCACGCCCUCCCAACAGUCGUAACCACACCCCUUUGUUGCUGUCUUCCUCUUCCUUGUCUUCUUCGUCUUCACCUUCUUGGUCCGUUGCUUCAGUGCUUGUAUGGCCACUACGCAUUCGCUACAAGUACAACUACCACUACACACGGUCAGAGCACCCCCAUGUCUUGAUAUAUCGCGAGACGUCCGUGUGAAUGCUGGCCCUGAAGGAGUGGACCAAUCAUCUUUCUUUUCUCUCACCCAGUUCCAUUUUCCUCUGUCCAUAUCUUUUCCCUUAUUCAUUUAUCGAUAUGGAGGCUGAGUAGUAUUUUGUCGUAAGUUUAGCUUUUAAAAAAGGCACCCCAUUUAUAUGUCUUUCCUUUAAUUGGCUAUGUAAGAGGGUUGAAUAUGAAUAUGAAAAUGAAUUAAUGUUUGAUCAAAGUGUGCAACACAGUGCAUUUAUGUAUCUUUUGGAUAAUAACCAGUUUCCAAUAUUUGUUAGCGCAACUGUGAUUUACAGUGUACGUGAUAUUUUACAGCGUCGAGAGACUCUAUGUUAAACAAACAUCUCAAUAAUACGAACGUUGCAAUAACCAGACAGUAAGAUGGCCAAACAAACGAUAUUUGCUUGGAGUUCCCAGAUUUUACGAUUUUCAACCAGGUGUUUUCCUUUUACACCUGAGCUUACCUGAUAGUGAAAUCAGGGCUCUUUCACCAAACUUGAUAUUACAAAAAAAGUUACAGUAGCUGUUUCAAAGCUACUGAAAUCAGUGCAUUUGAUUGGUUGCAAGUAAAUUUGUUAUAGAAUUGUGACAGUUUUUACUGAUACAAAGUUUCAUGAAACAGGGCCCAGACCAGCUAACAUGACAGUGUUUGAAAGCGGCAAGGCCCAUAUCAUCGAUAAUUAGAACAAUAGCCAUGAAUUUAAAACAAUUUUCCAGAAACUUUAGGGGAAAUUUCUGGAAAAUUAUUUUAUAUCCAUCAAUUAAUUAAAAAUCUGUGCUGAAGACUCAUCAGCAUAAACUGGUGAGCUAGGUCUGGGAAAAUAAAUAUCCAAUACGUUUUCCGCUUACAUUUUUAGGAGAACUAUUUUAUAAUUGUUAUCUUUAUAUGGGCCUAGACCCUACGGACACUUUCAAAUUAAUGAAUAUGUAUUAUGCAUCAUCUUUCUAUGUUAUUUCUAUUGUUAUGACCAGUAAGUCUGAUGUUUUUUAAAAGACUGGUUCCAUUUGACUGAUGAUGAUUACAAUAAUUAUAUCUAAAAAUAUGUCUUGAUCCUGAAAUUUUAAGAAAACGUAUUGGAUAUUGUUGUUGCAGGUCCCAUCUCAUUGACUGGAGGCUCUUGAGUCUUCAGCACAUUUUAGUCUCUGAUCAGUGGCAUAUCAAAUAACCUUUUCACCUAAACUUCAGGAGACUUUUAACACUUUAUACAGGGACUGUUGGUACAGUUAACGUUAGUUUUAUUGGUCAAAUGGUAUCAGCCCUUGAAGGGCUCUUAGGCCAAGGAUUUGAUUGUUAAAAAACUCUUUUAGUCUACAGAUGAAAGAAAGCAUUCAUCGUUUUCAAUUUAUUCAUCAUUGUAUUAUGAAAUAGACUUGAGAGAGAGAGAGAGAGAGAGAGCGAGAGAGAGGCUGGUGGAUAAAUGCAGAAUAGGCUCGAAAUCUGAGUAUUAACCAGUUGUUGUUUUAUUCAGAAAUUUACUGUUAGGUGAAGAAUAAUGAUAGCGCAGGUGCUCGGUUUGUAAUAUUUUAGGCAGAGAGAUUAAAAAAUAUGUAAAUUAAGUGAAACUGUAGCUUUAGUGGUUUCAAUGCAGUUUAUGAAAUUAUUGAUGGGUCAAUUUCUAUGUAUUCAUGAGGUAACUCAUUUUAGAAAAAGUUUAAGUAGGUGCUCUUUUGAUAAAUUGUAUAUUCUUUCAAGGUUUUAUGAGUAUUUUUAUGUGCUUUCUCAAAAUUCAUUAGAUUCUAUGUCUUUCUCUUUCAAAUUUUCCAUUUCCUGUUUCGGCCCCUCUGUUUCUCUGUCUCUGUUACUUUGCUUAUAUUCUCACCUACAUGUACACAUACUGUUGUCACAAAAAUCUUUGUACAUUCAUGAAUUUCUUUCUUUCUUUCCUUCUUUCCUUCUCUCCUUCUCUCUUUCUUUUGUUCUCUCUUUCAUGUCUCAUCUCUUUGUAGAUAAAUACAUCUUCUUCCUCUUCAAGACCCUGGAUCAUUUUGAAUAGAGUAACUUAUUGAAGCACAAAACUGUACACAGUUGUGGUAUGCCUUAUGUAAUCUCACUGUAUUCUCAUAUUUUCGUGUGAAAAAGGGCACUGAGUUUUUAGAAAAAAUGAUUUUGAGCUACCAGAAUAGCAGAAAAGAAGGAGCUCUGUUUUGAUAACUGCAUACUUAGCUGGUUUUAUAUCUAUAUUGUAGAAAGGACUUUUAUAUACCACAUUGAACAUAGAGUAAACUUGUACAUUAUAUAAUCCUGUGCAAUAAUUAUCUUUAACCUUAUGAUAGUUAUAUGUAUUAUGUAAGUAUAUUUUGACGUGGUUGUUGAAAUAAUGAUCGCAACUGCUGUUCGUUAUAUGUAUUUAUCAGUUAAAAGUCAGCCUUUUUUAUCAUAUCAACAGGCUGUCCUGGUUGUUGUUGUUGUUUUUUUAAUGUGAAAACUACAGUUAUAUGGUUUUAUCAAAGGCUUUUUAUUUAUUGAAUUAAGUGGUUUUAACUCAAAAGCAAGAUGAGUGCACCUAUUUUUGCUGCGUGUAUCUUAUUUUGCUGGCUAUGGUUCAACAUUAUUUUAGUUCCCCACCCAACGGUGUGUAAAUGUUUGUAGCAUGUAUAUACUUUUCCCACAUUUGGUGUCUAGCACAGCAGCCCUGUAUUUAUAAUAUGUAUGCAUGUUGUACAGUGCAAGAUAGUGUAUGUAUACAAUAACAAUGUCAGAAUUUUGAGCAAUAAUAAUAUUGUAAUUAUAAACAUCUCAUAACAAUCGUAUGUAUAAGAUGGUAAUAUGCUGAACUUCUCGCUGAUUAUAAAAUUUUUGUAAUUAUAUAUCUUUCUGUGGGUUUGUUAAACACUAGAGAAGAAUAUACGAUGUAUACUUUAUCGGCAGUUGCUCUGUAGUCAAUUUCUAACACUUGGCAAAUUUGUGACAUCAGCUCUGGACCUACUAUUCAUAGCCCUAAACCUAACCUGAAAACCAAGCCAAGCCAAAAGCCUAUAUUUUGGACGAAGCAAAGACUGGAGCAAAUGUCGAAAAAGUUGCCGGACCAAAUGUCGGAUCACUUGUUGGGUGAUGUUAGAAUGGCACAUACGAUGUAGCCUGAACAACAAAAUAGUUCAAAAAAAGUUAUCAGCAGUAUACUGUGUAACGUCAUCUGGUAUGGCGUCUUAUUGGUUUUGUGAUCUCAAUUUUUUAAUUUCUUUGUCUACUUUUUACAAAAUUAUAACAGUUUCUUCAUGAGCAAUGGGUAUUAUGUUUACCUUUAACCCCAAUGCCUUUGAAGAUAAUAUGUGAUGGCUGCUUGUAAUACUAGUUUCGUGAAAUGCUGGAGCGUUACAGGCUUCUUCAUAGAAUGUUUCCAGACACAAAACGUUGACUUGUAAGGAGAACUUUGUCACAACAUCUAUGUUGAUUGUUAGCAUGGUCUUUGAAAUUACAUGUAACUUUAACAAUACAGUGUUAGAAUCCUGCAUUUUGAUCUUCUGUGAACAAUUAUGUUGAAUCCAGGGAAUUGGGUAUUGGUAAAUGAUAUAUUAUGCAAAUGAUGCAUGCCAAGGAGUUCAUUACACGAUCUAUUCGCACUCGCGUUGAGGCUGAAUGCAUCUAUUGUAUGAAGCCGUCAAGCUCAGUAUGAUAAAUGCAUAAACAGCCUCAACGAGAGCCAAUAUCUCCUGUAAUGAAUGAAUGAAAACAUGCAUCAUUUGUUUAAUACAACAAAACUCCUAGGUCCUUGUUAUUUGAUAUAAAAAUAAUUAAUUUUGAGAUGGUUUAGUGUCAGUUUUCGCUGACAAAUAAAUCCUAAGUUUGAUAGGCUCACUGUACUGCACACUCAGAGAGAUGAGCGCACCUACCUCUAUACACGUUUAUGCCCAGUGCAGCUACGCAAAUACAGUUGUUAACAGUAUCAGUGCACUAACCUCAAUGAGUAUAGCGUACUUAAAAAUCUUUGGAUAGUACUGGAAAUGAAUGCACAUUUUUUCAUGAAGAAAAAAGUGGGAUAGUCUCAGUAAAUGAAUCAUACGUGGCCACGUUUGACCAAUCAUUUGAUGAGGAUCUAGGAGUGAGUUGUCUAAUCUUUAUUAAUAUUUUCACUCAUUAUAAUAAUCCUAAACGGUGAUUAUUUAUUUCAUGAUAUGCUGUACUCAAGUAACUUGAUAUUCAGAAUGCCAGUUUACAAUGUCUUGGGUCACUGUUUAGCUUUUGAAGAAAUAUAUGAUAUGGUAGAAUUAUGAAUUAUUGACAUCAUUAUGUAAAGUGAGGAUACAGCUCCAAGCAGUUUUAGCAGCAUUAUUACAAUGUAAAUACUAAUAUACAUCAAAUCAGGCUUUAUAACACAACUGUUGGGUUGGAAAGAAGUUAACAAAGCUGACAGUAUCUAGCCUUAUCAGGGGGCGGGAAGGGGGUGGUACAGUACCUGAUAUGGUAUACAGAAAUGGGCUGCUCUUGUGGGUCACUUUGUUUUUCUUCAAAGUAUCCCUAAACAUUAUGUGAUUUUGUUUUGGAAAAUCCGUAACAAUGGCUGCCUCACUUUUAUAUCUUGACCUUAAACAUGGGUUACUAUUUUCUUCACACUAAAUAUACGUACUCAUAUUCUUGCUAAAAGUGAAAAUUCAAGAAGUAAAAAAUAAUUUUGACAAAUUUGUACCUUUUCUAGCAAAAACUUAAAAACAGGUAUGGGUUUCAAAGCUUUAGCCGCACACCUGCAUCCCAAAAAAUCUGAGUACCCUCCCCCCCCCCCCCCCCCCCCGGCCUUUUUCAGGCAUAUUCAUUACCGGUAUACAAAGAUUUAACCUACCUUAGACCAUAACUGAACUAUGACAUACAUGUAUUAAUCUGUAAACCAGAAUGAGAGCUUUUAAGCACAUUUUGAAAAUCAAGAAUAAUACGAGAGCGAUUUAAUCUGUCACCAUGUACCAAAAACAAUAUCUUUAUCAUUGAAUUGAAAUAAUGCAUUUAUCAUCUAAUCAAAGUAGGGAGAAAACUAUAUCAGUUAUCCAGGUUGUAGAAGGGACAUUUUUAAUCAAUAAUGUCUAAAUAUGUACAUUUCCUUUAAAAAAAAGUAUAUCAUAAUUAUAUCUCAUUAUCAUAUCUCGUGUUCAACAAUUCAUUUACAUUAUCUUUGAGAGAAUGAUUAUAGAAAUGAUAUGUCUGUGGUCAGUUUGUUCAUUUCUGUUGAUGUGUCGCAUUAAGUUGGGUGUAUUUAUUUUAUUGUACAAAUUGAAUUUUAACUACAUGCAUUUCUUUACCAGACCAAUGCAUUUGCAUCAGAGUUUUGAGUUGAAUUGUGAAUUGGAUUUUAUUAUUUCUGUUUUUAGCCAAAAAGAAUUGUAAGAGUUGUUUUAAAUGUUUAUAUUCUUGCUACCUCACCCAAUGAUGUACACAGCUCUAUGCCUGUAAUGUUGCUGUUUGAUCAAAAGCAAAGGUUGCCCCGUCGCACAUGGGUUGCAGUGAGAUAGACUACUUUAUAUAUUUGUCUGGAAAAAAACAUAUCAAGCAUUGCUGAAAUGGUUAUGCCUAAUAACAUUGAUUUGUUUUAAAAGGUUUGCCUACUGUUUUAGGGGAAAUUGGCUCUUAAGGACCCAGAAGCUUGCCAGACAAAGCAACAGCUGAUAUAUUCAAGAUCAAUUUAUCCAGUUUGAUGGUAUUGUGAAGAACAAUUUUAUUAAACAGAUCAACAGACAACUUUA